rnacentral:tRNA from 1 species
GCCGAUGUAGCUCAGUGGUAGAGCACUUCCUUGGUAAGGAAGAGGUCAUGGGUUCAAAUCCCAUCAUUGGCU